rnacentral:rRNA from 1 species
UGAGUACGAGAUGCUACGGCAUCGAAGCAGUCUAUGUCAUACUUCCAAGAAAAGCUUGCACUGUCAUAAACAAAGAAUGCCUGUACCAUAACCGACACAGGUGGGUAGGUAGAGUAUACUAAGGGGCGCGAGAUAACUCUCUCUAAGGAACUCGGCAAAAUGACUCCGUAACUUCGGGAGAAGGAGUGCCUUAUUUCUAAGGUUGCAAUAACAAGAUCCAAGCAACUGUUUACCAAAAACACAGGUCUCCGCUAAGUCGUAAGACGAUGUAUGGGGGCUGACGCCUGCCCAGUGCCAGAAGGUUAAAGAAGUUGGUUAGCAUUAGCGAAGCUGAUAACUGAAGCCCUGGUGAACGGCGGCCGUAACUAUAACGGUCCUAAGGUAGCGAAAUUCCUUGUCGGGUAAGUUCCGACCCGCACGAAAGGCGUAAUGAUUUGGAUACUGUCUCGGAGAGGGGCUCGGUGAAAUAGACUUGUCUGUGAAGAUGCGGACUACCUGCACCUGGACAGAAAGACCCUAUGAAGCUUUACUGUAACUUGAGAUUGAAAUUGGACUUUAUUUGCGCAGUAUAGGUGGGAGGCGUUGAGAAUAAUCUUGCGGGAUUGUUGGAGCCAUCAGUGAGAUACCAUUCUUGUAAUGUUAGAUUUCUAACUUUGUAUCAUUAUCUGGUCAAAGAACAGUUUCAGGCGGGCAGUUUGACUGGGGCGGUCGCCUCCCAAAGGGUAACGGAGGCGCACAAAGGUUUCCUCUGAACGGGUAGAAAUCGUAUCUAGAGUGUAAAGGCAUAAGGAAGCUUGACUGUGAGACCUACAAGUCGAGCAGGGACGAAAGUCGGUCUUAGUGAUCUGACGGUGCUGAGUGGAAAGGCCGUCACUCAACGGAUAAAAGUUACUCUAGGAUAACAGGCUGAUCUCCCCCAAGAGUUCACAUCGACGGGGAGGUUUGGCACCUCGAUGUCGGCUCAUCGCAUCCUGGGGCGGUAGUCCGUCCCAAGGGUUGGGCUGUUCGCCCAUGAAAGCGGUACGCGAGCUGGGUUCAGAACGUCGUGAGACAGUUCGGUCCAUAUCCGGUGUAGGCGUUAGAAUAUUGAGAGGAGCCUUCUCUAGUACGAGAGGACCGAGAAGGACAUACCUCUGGUGUACCAGUUAUCGUGCCAACGGUAAACGCUGGGUGGCUAUGUAUGGAGUGGAUAACCGCUGAAAGCAUCUAAGUGGGAAGCCCACCUCAAGAUAAGUAU